UGGCUAAAAAUAAGUAGCCACGGUAAUUAAAUCUGUCGACUGAAAACUCGGAGAACGUAAAUCUUCGCGCACUCGUAGUGUAUUUCGCGACACAGUGCGCGGUUGCAGUUUUACGAGCUCGUAUAUACGUCUUAAGCCUGUGUAAUCCGGGAUCUUUGUUGGCGCAUACGACGUGCUCCGUCGGGUGGAAUUUCGAAAAAGACUCAACACGAUGAUGGAACACUGCGUACAUUCCCUGUUGGCAGUCUGGUGAGCGUCGUUCCCCGCGGAAUCUGACCUGCGUUCCCUACACGGGCUACAGGUAUCGGCAUGACCCUGGAAUUAAGCGGUUCCACGCGAAGAAACCCGUUCAUCAGGGCGUCCCUUUGGGCUGGGCGUCUCUCUGUGAGAAAAGCCGGUCGACCAGCCUAGAAUCGUGCCUCGAAAUUCUUCGACCGCGAAACCAGCGCACGUAAGAACCAGCGAGGAAGCAACCUUGGGAACGUCUCGAUUUUUCGUCGAUUUAUUAGCUUGCGUAAUGUCUGUGUUCGCAUUGCUUUCUAUGCUACGUUAUUUACAUAAUUUUUCGAUUUGAUCACGUUUCUCCCAUUACCAAUCGUAUUCACGUCGUCAUGCGAUCAUACUUCGAUGAGUUACGCAUAAAGAAAUGAAAAUAUGGACAUUUGCUUCAACCUUUAAAUACUCUCACGUAUUUUACUAACCAUGUUUUACCUACUUUUCUCUAUUACGCGCAUUCUAAAUAUUUCCCUUUAACAUCUGUCGAUUAUCUUUUUACUUACGCUUACCAUUUCUCAAUUGCCUAAUUUGAAAAAUGAGGAAUCCUCUAACGCUAAAGAUCGUAACGUCAAAAUUUCUAAAUAUUGUUAAAUAAAUAAAAAAGUACGCAAAGAUCCGCAGUCU
rnacentral:misc_RNA from 1 species